UACAGGAGGAGUCCUCCACCGGGCAGAGGGAGACACAGCAUGUUGGAGUCACGCAGCAUCUGUGGAGAGAAGGAAGCAAUGGGGGACGUGUCGGGCCGAGACCCUUCUUCAGGCUGAGAGUCAGGGGAGAGGGUAGGAGUGAAAAUCUGGAGGGCAUUGGAUUAGGACAAGAGGAGAAAGAUUUAAAAGUAACCCGGGUGGCCCUGUUUUCACACAAAAGGUGCUGCAUAGAUGGGGAACAAAACUGCUGAAGGAAGUGGUAGAGGAGGUGCAGAUAUGACAUUUAGAAGACACCUGGACAGGUCGGGAGGAAGACUGAGCCGCUGGGACAAACCCAAGUCCACCAGCACCACCGUUUAGUGGUCAGGACUGAGCUGCAGGGAGAAGCCCUAGACAGCCAGCACUUGCACUGAGGCUAAAACUGAGUGGUCAGGGCAUGCCUGAGACCGCCGGUGUCUCUUACCUGCCCACAGACAAUGAGGGACUGCAACCAUAAACAGAGGCAAAGACUGAGCCAUAAGAUUAAGACUGAGAAGCCCAGUGCUGCCUCUCAAGGCAAGGGUGAAAUGCAUGGUAAGCCUGAGAUUGCCGCACUUCCUUCUUCAAGCCCAAAGUUGAGCUGCCACGGGGAAGCCUGAGACCACCAGCAUCUCCUCUCGAGGAAAACUGCAGGAGUAAGUCUGAGAUCGACAGUGCCUCCUCCUUCGAGACCAAGACUGAAUUAGUAAGACAAGCCCAAGAUGGCCAGUACCUCCUCACGUGCUGUAGACAAGGGACAAGUGCCCCAAGAAUUGAAUUUGUUGUCACUAUAAAGAAACCAUAUUACACAAGUUCACCCAA